GUUUCUCUUUAUUAAUUUAGGUUAUUUCCUUUGUGCAAAAAUUAAAAAGCAAAAAACACUGCUAUUCAAGUUGCAGGCGAGCGUCCGUUGUAUUCCACGCCGGGUUCCUGGGAGUCACAUUAUUUCAGUCCUCUUUUGAAUCUGUCAGUGGAGAUCGGAAACUUUUUAAGUUGCUGUCCUCGGCUCCGUUACAACGCUCCCGUGUCGGUAACUCCCUUCAUCCAAAAACGACCGAAUUCAAAUCCAACUUUGCCAUCAGUUUGUUGCGGUGAGUUCUGCUGCAAGAUUCUAGUGAUCCCCCAAAUGCGCGUAGACCCCCGAACCUCAGCGGAGGGAGCACGACUUCACGUUCAGCGCGUUUCAUUCAGGAGAGCGGAAUGCCUCGUCAAUUGGUAUGUGCCAUUCUACCCCCCCCCCCCCCCCCCCUCAGUAGAGCGAACAAUGUAUCCCAGGGAGGAAAUUUAACCUCUUCCAGCCUGGAUCCCACCCCGGCGCACGGUGGGUUGAUGUGUUUGGAGCUCUGAGAGGGAAUACAAGAUUGUUUCCCGCUCGUAUGAUGUGUCCCAGCGUCGAGUGGGAACCGAGCCCCCCCCCCCCCCCCCCCCCCCCCCCCCGCGGGCACCCUGCUGGGGCGUCCCUCCUUCAAACGCCGCCAGACCCCGAGAAAAACGGCCGAGUCCCCCGCGAGGAGGCGGGAGGGAGGAGCUGGUGCUGGGGCGACACGAGGGCCCCCGGUG